rnacentral:rRNA from 1 species
UAGGGAAUCUUCCGCAAUGGGCGAAAGCCUGACGGAGCAACGCCGCGUGAGUGAUGAAGGUCUUCGGAUCGUAAAACUCUGUUAUUAGGGAAGAACAAAUGUGUAAGUAACUAUGCACGUCUUGACGGUACCUAAUCAGAAAGCCACGGCUAACUACGUGCCAGCAGCCGCGGUAAUACGUAGGUGGCAAGCGUUAUCCGGAAUUAUUGGGCGUAAAGCGCGCGUAGGCGGUUUUUUAAGUCUGAUGUGAAAGCCCACGGCUCAACCGUGGAGGGUCAUUGGAAACUGGAAGACUUGAGUGCAGAAGAGGAAAGUGGAAUUCCAUGUGUAGCGGUGAAAUGCGCAGAGAUAUGGAGGAACACCGGUGGCGAAGGCGACUUUCUGGUCUGUAACUAACGCUGAUGUGCGAAAGCGUGGGGAUCAAACAGG